AAUAUCCUUCCAACUCUCUUCAUCUGACUUUUCCCCUAAUUAAUUUUUAUUCAUUAUUUAGGCCCUAGUUUGUGUGAUUUCCUCAAGGAAACUCUCUUUGACCACUGAAAUAAGAAAACUUUCUCCCAGCAGCUAUUUUUAUAGUACCAUCAACUUCUCAGUGAAACACUUAUCACUGUCAUAGUUUCACAUUUAUUUGUGUGACUGAACAAUUCAUGAAUCAGGGAUCCUGUCUACCUUAAUUUUGUCUACUUGUGCACCCACUCUUUGGCCAAUACUCACGGUUCAGUAAGUGGUUGCUAAAAGAAUAAAUGAAUUGAAAUAAAAUGAAAUAAUCCAUUUAUCUUUGAAGAGUAAUCCUGACUGGUAAUAAGCAAGGGGAACUCAGGGUGAUGGAAAGUCCUGUAGCUACUUAAGGUAAAGUUACACAGGUAUAUAUGUAAAGUUUGAGUUGACUUACACUUUUGGCCAAAACAAAGUAACUGAUAUUGGUUGCAAACUGUUGUAAACAGAAAACUAGACAAAAUUUAUGACACUAUUGAGAUACUCGAAAAAUACAUAUAACAAUUCAGACAUUAGAGAACAGGCAGGGAAGGUAAAAAAUGAGAUAAGCUCUACAAACAUCUUUUCUGUGAAGCUACAAUUAUUCCAAAAUUUAAAAAGAAGAAAGUAAAGCCAAUCAGUCAAGGACAUAAAUCAAGAAAACAUUCCAACCUUGGCCGAGGUCUCCAGGGAUCAGGGAGAUGACUGCUCUGUUCACAAGGUAAACAAUCUCAGUGGUUUCUGCCCACGAUGUGGAAUCACUCAGUGUCAAAGUCCUCCCUCUUCCAGCUCUCUUUUGAUCAUUCUGAGUUCCCCCAGGAGUGAGUCUCAGCUUGAUGCCAGCCCAUCUUUACCACCAUCUCAGACUUGCUGACUUUCCUUUCUAACAAGGGUGAGUAAACCACAGGCUGGGAGCCUGCAAUCUGUGACAGUCUUGGUUGAAUUUAAUCACUGAAUUAGUUUUGUUGUGUGCAUUUUUACUUUCUACUUGUGGCAAGUUGUGCUAGUUUCUAUGUAUGACUGCAAUAUUAAUUUUUCUAUUUAAGCAAAUUUUCUUUUCCUAACAUGAAUUGAUUUAAGGAUAGGCCUUGAGCAAAUAACGUACAAAAGAGAGGGGAAUUUAGUCCUAAUCAUGAAAAUGGUUUGGGAGUAAAUAAAAUUUGAGAAACUGAGCGCUAAUGGAGAGCUGGUUUCCCAAAGAGAAAGGGCACCUUGGCUUUGCACCCCUGUGGGAACACCUGAGCACUGAUGUGGUGACUCAGUGGGGUAGGAUACGUGUUCCUGGCUGGUUCUGAAGGGGAGACUAGAAAAUGGGGAGGAAGCAGACCAUGUGACCUCAGCUCUGCUUGAACAAGGUUCCUGUCUCUCCUGUCCAUCCUGGCUUCUCCAUCCCUGGAACACAGCCUGGCACACAGAAGAUUCCCAGUAAGUAUUUAUUGACUAAACAAAUGCAAGGGAGAAUGACUAUACAUAAAACUUUCGAGCCAGUUCUAUCAUUUCCAAUAUGAACAUCAAAGUAUUGCCCAAAAUAGAAGGGUCUUCUGGGGGCAUCCAGGGCAACCUCAUCAUUGCACAAAUGGGCAGUGGAAGCCCAACAGGAAGAAGGUAUUUGCUCCAGCCACACAGUCAGUGUCUGGGAAAAGCAGGGCCAAGAACUAGGACUUCCCUUCUGUGAUCAUUCUUGCCAACACACCAGUCUGUCACUUCUGUUAUGCGCCCACAUGAAUGACCUCAGCCCAGGCAGGCAGUGCUGCAGGCAGAGUGGGGGCAGACAGCAAACCAGACUCCUGGCACCCAGCCUAUGCUGGAAGAGGUAGAAAGUCCCCUGCUCGGAGGCUGCACAGAGGUUUUCUGUAUCGUGUAGGUCAAACUGGACCACACCAAGGCAGCCUGUCUCUCCUGGGCCUCUGACACUGGGCACCCUCAUUCUUGGUUAGGGUGAAUCCUUCCUUUAUGCAUCAAGUCCACCUUUGCUGUAGGGAAAAGAAAGAGAGAUCAGACUGUUGCUGUGUCUAUGUAGAAAGGGAAGACAUAAGAAACUCCAUUUUGACCUGUACCCUGAACAAUUGCUUUGCCCUGAGAUGCUGUUAAUCUGUAACUUUGCCCCAGCCUUGAGCUCACAAAAACAUGUGUUGUAUGGAAUCAAGGUUUAAGGGAUCUAGGGCUGUGCAGGAUGUGCCUUGUUAACAAAAUGUUUACAGGCAGUGUGCUUGGUAAAAGUCAUCGCCAUUCUCCAGUCUCGAUAAACCAGGGGCACAAUGCACUGCAGAAAGCUGCAGGGACCUCUGCUCUGGAAAGCCAGGUAUUGUCCAAGGUUUCUCCCCAUGUGAUAGCCUGAGAUAUGGCCUCAUGGGAUGGGAAAGACCUGACUGUCCCCCAGCCCAACACCCAUGAAGGGUCUGUGCUGAGGAGGAUUAGUAAAAGAGGAAGGCCUCUUGCAGUUGAGAUAGAGGAAGGCCUGUUUCUCCUGCCCGCUCCUGGCAGGAGAAACUCGGUAUAAAACUCGGUAUAAAACUCAAUUGUACAUUUGUUCAAUUCUAAGAUAAGAGAAAAACUGCCCUGCGGUAGGAGGCGAGACAUGUUGGCAGCAAUGCUGCUUUAUUAUUCUUUACUCCACUGAGAUGUUUGGUGGACAGAAACAUAAAUCUGGCCUACGUGCACAUCCAGGCAUAGUACCUUCCCUUGAACUUAUUUGUGACACAGAUUCCUUUG
rnacentral:lncRNA from 1 species